GGAAAAUCCGGUUUCUUUGACCAUUAUCUUUCUGUUGUCUUGAGUCUGCAUUUUUUGGUUCCUCCUUUUUCAACCCAGAGCAUGUUGGCAAACACUUGAAUUCAGCCUAUCCUGGUUAUUUGAACCUAAUCACAGGCUUCCGGUCCCUGGGAAACAGAGCAAAUAAAGUGCUGAGUUAUAUGUGAAACAACAUCCUCUUCACCCUGCUGCCCCCAACCAGAGUCCAGCACAUAAAACUGAAUUUGACAGGGCCAGGGUUGCUGCUUUUAAAAGGCAUCGUGAGCGCCUGAUCAAAGCUACUCUUUCAGUUUCAGACAGGGAGAAUGUUGGUUUAAAUUUCUCAAGUUUACUGCACACCAGAUAGUGCUAAAACAUUCAAGCUGGAUGGAGUGACGUAAAGUGCUUAGUAGGUAUCAGCCCCAAAGUGCGGAAGCCCACAGCCCUCUGCUCUUCUAAUCUCCCUCUAUCACUCAGUGAGAUAGUUCAAGAUUUCUACUUUGGAGAGGCCAAGUAUAAUGAAGUGAAAAAAAGAAGCAGUGUUUCUGCGAGCCGCAACAUCCAGUGCACCUUGUCAGUGUCCCACGUGGACAUGAAGAAGGAAAGGGUGAGGGGGGGGGGGGAUUUUCCCUGAGAGUAGCACAUAGUUUAAAUAUGAAUGGAUGAACCUGUGAUCUUGUAAUUGUGGAUUAAUGUCAGCGUUAAUCAGCUCCUCAGAGAGAGAAAAGCUGGACCUUUUCCCUUCCUGUACCACAUUGAGCAUUUGAUUUCCAUGGGCUCCACCAUUUAUGUGUAAAAUUUGAAAUGGUUGUCAACUGUCUCUGAGGAGCGAGCUUGAAGCCUUUACACCAGCUGCUGUUGGAGAUUCAAAGCCAGAGUGUGGGUCAGGAGGGACGCUGGCUAGGCUGGCUGAAAAUGAGUGCUGUGCUCUCCCUGAUUACAAAGGGGUGGGUUGCGCCUCCCAGGAACGACUGAACAAUGAGAACAUUAUUGUAGUUAACCAUUGGGUAGUAGAUGUGCUUUUCUAUUUAUAAGUGACUUUAAACUUUCCCUUGGCUGUUAAGAAAUUUGUUAUAGAUUUAGCUAUUUAUUGUUCAAUGCCUGCAUGCUGAAACAAUGCUUACGGUUGUCUUCACGUGUACGGACGUGUGUGAACGUUUGUAUGUUUUGCACAUUCUGUAGCUAUUGGUGUGCUUUGCUGCACAAAAUGAAAACUUUUGAGUUACAAUUUGGAGUAUAACUGGAGGG
rnacentral:lncRNA from 1 species